ensembl:rRNA 5S_rRNA 5S ribosomal RNA
GUCUACAGCCAUACCCCGCUGAAUGCACCUGAUCCUGGCUGAUCUCAGAAGCUAAGCAGGGUUGGGCCUGGUUACUACUUGGAUGGGAGAAAGAAAAGGAGAAGGGAGGAGUAGGGC